AACGAACGCUAUCGGUAUGCUUAACACAUGCAAGUCGGACGGACUAAUUAGGGCUUGCUCCAAUUAGUUAGUGGCAGACGGGUGAGUAACACGUGGGAAUCUGCCCAUCAGUACGGAAUAACUUUUAGAAAUAAAAGCUAAUACCGUAUAUUCUCUACAGAGGAAAGAUUUAUCGCUGAUGGAUGAGCCCGCGUCAGAUUAGGUAGUUGGUGAGGUAACGGCUCACCAAGCCGACGAUCUGUAGCUGGUCUGAGAGGAUGAUCAGCCACACUGGGACUGAGACGCGGCCCAGACUCCUACGGGAGGCAGCAGUGGGGAAUAUUGGACAAUGGGCGAAAGCCUGAUACAGCAAUACCGAGUGAGUGAUAAAGGCCCUAGGGUUGUAAAGCUCUUUUAGCAAGGAAGAUAAUGACGUUACUUGCAGAAAAAGCCCCGGCUAACUCCGUG
rnacentral:rRNA from 1 species